rnacentral:rRNA from 1 species
CAAUAGCGUAUAUUAAAGUUGUUGCAGUUAAAAGCUCGUAGUUGGAUUUCGGGGCAGCCUGCCUGGUCCACCGCAAGGUGAGUACUGGUCAGCCGCCCUUCCUCUCGAAAGCCCCGACUGCUCUUCAUUGCAGUGGUCGGGUAGUUCGGGACGUUUACUUUGAAAAAUUAGAGUGUUCAAGGCAGGCUAUCGCCUGAAUACAUUAGCAUGGAAUAAUGGAAGAGGACCUCGGUCCUAUUUUGUUGGUUUCUAGGGCCGAAGUAAUGAUUAAGAGGGACAGUUGGGGGCAUUCGUAUUUAAUUGUCAGAGGUGAAAUUCUUGGAUUUAUGAAAGACGAACUAGUGCGAAAGCAUUUGCCAAGGAUGUUUUCAUUAAUCAAGAACGAAAGUUAGGGGUUCGAAGACGAUCAGAUACCGU